rnacentral:rRNA from 1 species
CCUACGGGGGGCUGCAAUGGGGAAUAUUGGACAAUGGGGGGAACCCUGAUCCAGCCAUGCCGCGUGUGUGAAGAAGGCCCUCGGGUUGUAAAGCACUUUCAGUGAGGAAGAACGCCUGGUGGUUAAUACCCAUCAGGAAAGACAUCACUCACAGAAGAAGCACCGGCUAACUCCGUGCCAGCAGCCGCGGUAAUACGGAGGGUGCGAGCGUUUAUCGGAAUUACUGGGCGUAAAGCGCGCGUAGGUGGCUUGAUAAGCCGGUUGUGAAAGCCCCGGGCUCAACCUGGGAACGGCAUCCGGAACUGUCAAGCUAGAGUGCAGGAGAGGAAGGUAGAAUUCCCGGUGUAGCGGUGAAAUGCGUAGAGAUCGGGAGGAAUACCAGUGGCGAAGGCGGCCUUCUGGACUGACACUGACACUGAGGUGCGAAAGCGUGGGUAGCAAACAGGAUUAGAUACCCUUGUAGUC